AGUGAACGCUGGUGGUAGGCCUAACACAUGCAAGUCGAACGGCAGCACAGUAAGAGCUUGCUCUUACGGGUGGCGAGUGGCGGACGGGUGAGGAAUACAUCGGAAUCUACUUUUUCGUGGGGGAUAACGUAGGGAAACUUACGCUAAUACCGCAUACGACCUACGGGUGAAAGCAGGGGAUCUUCGGACCUUGCGCGAUUGAAUGAGCCGAUGUCGGAUUAGCUAGUUGGCGGGGUAAAGGCCCACCAAGGCGACGAUCCGUAGCUGGUCUGAGAGGAUGAUCAGCCACACUGGAACUGAGACACGGUCCAGACUCCUACGGGAGGCAGCAGUGGGGAAUAUUGGACAAUGGGCGCAAGCCUGAUCCAGCCAUACCGCGUGGGUGAAGAAGGCCUUCGGGUUGUAAAGCCCUUUUGUUGGGAAAGAAAAGCAGCAGGUUAAUACCCCGCUGUUCUGACGGUACCCAAAGAAUAAGCACCGGCUAACUUCGUA
rnacentral:rRNA from 1 species